UCUGGUCUCACAUUAUCCGAACUGUUCAGCUUGUUCUUGCACCGGGCGUGUUAUAAUGUAACGCUUUUUAAAAUCUCUAGUUAUAUCACCAUUGUUAUUCCACAAGGUUAUCGCACUAGUGCUGUACAACGGUAAAUUGUAUUUACCCGGUAGAUACUUCUUUCUUUUGAAAAUAUUUAAAUCGUCUAUGGAAAUAUACUCAUGUGGAUGUUUGACGCAAAAUCGACUGGGGAGCCUAUAUGGAUCUAUUAAAAAACGAGUGUCGUGGAACAGGUGUACUCAGAUGUCGAGAGAUGUCCCAAUUUUUAUCGCUUAUACGGACAGACGGGCGGAGAUUUGUACAUAUAGGAUUCAUAUAUAUGUAUGUAUAGCUCUGUAAUAUGUUGCAACAGUUUAAAAGACAAUACCUAAAAACAUUACCAGUCGAAAAAGUAUUUAAAGAAGAAAUAAAAAACACAUGAAGAUUUAAUUUUAGGUUAUACUUAUCAUUUACAUCUAUUAGAGGACUAAAUAAAAGGUUUGCUGAGAUGACUUUUGACAGUUCAAAUUAAUAUACUGAUUAAUUAAGUUUGACACAUCGCUUGACAUCUGUGCAAUUGUAUCAUUAAAUGAGAUUCGGAGAAGGCUUUUUAUAUAAUAUUAUAUAUUACGAAGCUCCUUGCUCUCCUGACACUUGAUUUUAUAUACAGUUUAGUGUACCGUGAAAAAUUUGUUUGAAUAACCUUUUAACACAAGCACAAGUAAUAUUAUCUUGCAAUUCGUUGUAAAUUAGCCAUUAUGAUGAUA